rnacentral:rRNA from 1 species
AUUGAACGCUGGCGGCAUGCUUUACACAUGCAAGUCGAACGGUAACAGGCCGCAAGGUGCUGACGAGUCGCGAACGGGUGAGUAAUGCAUCGGAACGUGCCCAGUCGUGGGGGAUAACGCAGCGAAAGCUGCGCUAAUACCGCAUACGCUCUAUGGAUGAAAGCGGGGGACCGUAAGGCCUCGCGCGAUUGGCGCGGCCGAUGUCAGAUUAGGUAGUUGGUGAGGUAAAGGCCCACCAAGCCAACGAUCUGUAGCUGGUCUGAGAGGACGACCAGCCACACUGGGACUGGGACACGGCCCAGACUCCUACGGGAGGCAGCAGUGGGGAAUUUUGGACAAUGGGCGCAAGCCUGAUCCAGCAAUGCCGCGUGCAGGAAGAAGGCCUUCGGGUUGUAAACUGCUUUUGUACGGAACGAAACGGCUCUCACUAAUACUGGGGGCUAAUGACGGUACCGUAAGAAUAAGCACCGGCUAACUACGUGCCAGCCGCCGCCGUAAGAC